GGAUUCCCCUAGUAACGGCGAGUGAAGCGGGAAGAGCUCAAAUUUUAAAUCUGGCGUUCUCCGGGCGUCCGAGUUGUAAUCUAGAGAAAGUGUUUUUCCGUGGUUGGACCCACCAUAAAGUUUACCUCGAACGGUACAUCAUAGAGGGUGAGAAUCCCGUGUGUUGGUGGAGCCCAGUGCUCUGCGAUGCGCUCUCGACGAGUCGAGUUGUUUGGGAAUGCAGCUCAAAAUGGGAGGUAAAUUCCUUCUAAAGCUAA
rnacentral:rRNA from 1 species